rnacentral:lncRNA from 1 species
AGCCGACAAAUGGCCGCGGCGGCCUCAGGUCCGGCGUCACUCAGACAAGGGGGCGGGUGGAGGAGGAAGCGGCCAAGUCCACAGUCCUGCUCCCGUGCCGCCGAGCACCGCCCACCUCAGCUGACCAGCCCUGUCCGCUACUAGGCCUCGCCUAGAGGAGGGAAAGGCCGUGGCGUCCGCUCCCUCCGCGGCUCAUGGCGACGACGCUUGGCACAUCCGGGACCCUCAGGCCGCUGCAGUCGCGUCGCCGGCUGCUCGGGCCCCAGCCCCGGCCGCUGUGGUGACUCCGCCGCGCCUCGCCGUCGCCCCCGUCCCGCCCGCCGCCCCAGCCGCCAGGGACAUGUCUAACCUCGGAGGCCGUAGGAACGGGCCUGUCGAAGUGCGCCUGACAGGUGAAGGGGGCGCGGCGGGCCGGGCUGGGCAGCCGCGAGGUGGGCGAGCUGGCAGGGGUGCUUGUGGCCUUGGGAAGGGCCAGGGUCGCGAUCAGUGGGACAUGCCACCCCCGUUUUAGGAGAACUUGUAUUUGGUUUGAGAAGGAAUUGGAAUCACGGCGUUAUCCUACCUUCACCAUUUACCCCUGAUAAAUUGUCCACGUUUAUAUUUGGGAAUCAUAUUGACAGGUCAUGAAAAUGAGACCAAAAGAUCUCUGGAAGCGAUUAAUGAUAAAAUUUCAUGGAGAAGAAGGCCUUGACUACGGAGGGGUUGCCAGGGUGAUGACAACUCCGUGAGGGUGGAGAUUAUACAUCUCUCAUCAUUUCAGCAACAAGGAAAUAAAUUAGUGGCAGAGUAAGGGUGACUUGGUGAGUACAUCCAAUUGUUGACAUAGUUUUGGGUGGGAGAAAUUUUGCUAUUAUAUCAACUUC